rnacentral:rRNA from 1 species
GCGAACGCUGGCGGCGUGCCUAACACAUGCAAGUCGCACGGUCCCGAUCGCCCGCAAGGGCGUAUCGGGAUAGUGGCGGACGGGUGAGUAACGCGUGAGCAACCUGCCUGCGAGUGGGGAACACCCCGGGAAACUGGGGCUAAUACCGCAUCACACCCGAGGACGUUGGUCCUUGGGUUGAAAGCCCGCAAGGGCGCUCGUAGAGGGGCUCGCGUCCGAUCAGCUAGUUGGUGAGGUAACGGCUCACCAAGGCGGAGACCGGUAGCCGGCCUGAGAGGGUGUUCGGCCACACUGGGACUGAGACACGGCCCAGACUCCUACGGGAGGCAGCAGUGAGGAAUAUUGCGCAAUGGGGGAAACCCUGACGCAGCGACGCCGCGUGGAGGAUGAAGCCCUUCGGGGUGUAAACUCCUUUCGACCCGGACGAAAGCCCGCAAGGGCCUGACGGUACGGGUA